rnacentral:rRNA from 1 species
CUCAGUUCGGACUGGAGUCUGCAACCCGACUCCACGAAGCUGGAUUCGCUAGUAAUCGCGCAUCAGCCACGGCGCGGUGAAUACGUUCCCGGGCCUUGUACACACCGCCCGUCAAGCCAUGGGGAGCCGGGGGUACCUGAAGUGCGUAACCGCGAGGAGCGCCCUAGGGUAAAACUGGUGACUGGGGCUAAGUCGUAACAAGGUACC